UAGUGUCUCAAAGUUUAACCUUUGUCUAUAAUCCAUCUGGGGCUUCCUCUAAUAAUUCACUCCAGAAGGAACAUUAGUGGAUGUGAGUUUUCUCCCAGGGAUUCACCCUCCUUCUGUUUUAAAUCAAAAAAUGCUUUUGCAAAUUAGCCAAAGGAGACAGGCUAUAAGCUUCCUGUAAGAAUCCUUCAGUGUGCCCUCUGGACUUUUUG
rnacentral:lncRNA from 1 species